UCCUGUGAGGAGCAGCUGAGAGAGCUGGAGGUGUUUAGCCUGGGGAAAAGGAGGCUCAGGGGGACCUUCUCACUCUUUACAACUGCCUGGAAGGAGAUUGUAGCCAGGUUAAACCAUUGUAGGAGUGGGAGCAGAGGGAAGAAAUGCAGCUGGAUGUCCGACUCUGUGCCUGAUGAUAUUUACCAGUGACUUGUUAGAGUGUGUGUGUUAACUCUGUGUCACGUUCCCUCUGACAUGGUAUGAUCUGGAUGUAAUAUCAGCAGUUGCUGAGCUGUUCUUUCUGUACCCUGUGACGCUGCAGCUGUCACUGUUCACCAGUGGGCAUUGUGAAAUGAUGAGGCAGUACCUUUCUGCAGGGUACACAUUGAUAAGGCCUUGAGGCUCCUAUUUCCUUGGCUAAGCUUUUGCUAGAAGCAAGGAGAUGGGAGCUGUUUUGUCGUAUAGUAAUGCACCUAUCUAAAAUG